rnacentral:rRNA from 1 species
AACGAACGCUGGCGGCGUGGAUAAGACAUGCAAGUCGAACGCUGAUUACGGGAUAGCAAUAUUUCGUAGUUGGAGUGGCGUAAGGGUGCGUAACACGUGGGCAAUCUGCCAUGAAGUCCGGGAUAACCUGCUGAAAGGCGAGCUAAUACCGGAUGUGAAAAUCGAAAGGCAUUUUUUGAUUUUCAAAGUUGGGGACCGAAAGGCCUGACGCUUCAUGAUGAGCCCGCGGCCUAUCAGCUAGUUGGUGAGGUAACGGCCCACCAAGGCUAAGACGGGUAGCUGGUCUGAGAGGACGACCAGCCACACUGGAACUGAGACACGGUCCAGACACCUACGGGUGGCUG